rnacentral:lncRNA from 1 species
UAAUGGGGUUUAUAAGUCUAUCAGUCUCCUCUUAACCUUAUACUCUUAAGACUGCUUGUUAUGUUUUGAGCUAGAUUUCGAAUUAAUCAGUCGCAAUGACCCAUAUGAGAUAUGGACUAGGCGGAAUAAGAUACUUUCUUACCUUAGGGUUUGGAAGUGUUCAGUUUAUGUUGAGCAUUUGCAGAUCGAUUAGCUUGGAUUCCA